rnacentral:sRNA from 1 species
AUCUAUAUAUACAUGUUUGGAGGGGAUUUUUGAAGAUAAUGUUGAAGAUUUGAGCCAUAAUUCAACAAUUAAUUCAAAUGGGUGGGUUUUACUCGGCUUAACUCUGUUCAGAUCCUGGAUAACAUGUUUAAUUCAGUUCUGAUCUUGGAUAACAUUAGUUUUUGGAAAAGUUACCUAAAAACUAAUAAUUAAAAACGAAAAUUAAUGAUUUAAUUACCAAAUUUAAUAUAAACAAUAUCUCUAAACUAACCAUAUUUCUUAUUUACCUUAACUAAUUUCCUAAAAUAUUUCUACCUAAUUUAAACAUAAAUAUAUAAUUCUUCUUUCAAUUUUAUUUGAUCUUAUACUUUAUUUAUUUUGAAUUUAUAUAAAAUAUAUAUAGUUAAUAAAAUAUUAUAUUUUUUUCUGAAUAUGAUGUAAUUCAAAUUUUUUAAAACGGACAUAUAUUAUUCAACCUAUGAAGAAAUAAUAUGUGUACAAUGUCCAACAUCGCUUAGAAAAAUUGGACAAUGGUUCAGACCCAUAUUAUAAAAGGACCAAAAUGAUUCUGAUUAUGAAUGAGCAUGAAGCUUGAUUUAUCAGGCGUCCAAAAUUAAAAUAGUUAUCCGAUUUUACUCGGAUUUUUUAUUUUAAAGAAUUAAAACUUUAAAAUGUU